GAACCUGUUUGGGUACUGUGGUGAGAGUUUGUUUAUCUAUUUUGGAAAACCAUUCACAGGUGACAGGCACUGAAGCAGGUGACAAUACGAAAGCAAAGCUCUGCAGGUGCUAGCAGUGGGCUGUGCUGUCACAGGGUGGACCGUGUGUGCGUGACAACUUAGAGGGUGAAGAUGGAACCGUGGGAGACCCCACUGCCUACAGGGAUAGAAAGUGCAACGGCCUUUCCUGCAGGACCCUUAACUAACACUCCCAAUCAUGUUUGGAUCACAGACAGACUAAUUUGUGCAUAUAAACUAACUGUACCAUGCAAGAGUCAAAACUCGUCAAGACACUUGUUUCCACUGGAAAGAUUCUGUGUCCUGAGUGAGGAACAGCUGUCCACAUACAAGUGACAAGAUACAGAAUGUCCUCUUAGCCAUAGUGCUGACGUCCUCCAAGUGAUCCGAGCUCCAUGGAAGGGCUGAG
rnacentral:lncRNA from 1 species